CAUAUGAAACAAGAGGGCUAGGCCGAUUUUAAGAAGUGUGUAUUCUCUCAAAAGUCUUUCCAAGAGCAUUUGGUGUUGUGUGAAGCAUUUGAGGCAUCACACUUGGGGUGCUAGACUCACAAGAUUUCAAGGAACAUAAGCAACAACAAGGUAAGUCACUCUAUCUUUCAUUCAAGUUAAAAAAUUUUCCCCGUGUAUGCUAGAUAGGAAUAUAACCUUGGAAUUCAACUUUGCAUGAUAAUUAGACAAACAUAGAUCCAUGGUUAUUAGGAUUUCAUGUUCACUUAAGAAGUGUUACAAUGCUCAAAACACAUCAGUGGUAUUAGAGCCUAGGCUUGUUUGUUCGUUAUUUGUGCUAAAUAGUUGAAAAAAGUCGAUUUUGUGCAAUCUGCCUGAUGAACUCGCCGAGUCCAUGGGGGGACUCGCCGAGUUCAUGUGUAUCUUCAUCCUACUCACCGAGUAGGUUCGUGCACUCGGCGAGUAGGAGCCUCAGAAUGCAGAUUUUCGACUUUAGUUGCUGGAAAUGGACUAGAAACAUUACCCUAAACUAUUUUGGUACUUGAAAAUUUGUUUUAGAUGGUCUAAUGUCCUUGCUAAUCCAUUUACAACAACAAGUUAUCAAAAUUACAAAGUUUAAGUGUAAUUUUGAUUCAUGAAAGUGUUCAUGUUCGUGUUCUUGAUCUUAUAAUGUUUAGAUGAUCAUAGGAAUUGUUUGUAACCAAUGUGGUAGAUUAAUUCUUGAUCAUUAUGUGUUUUAAUGGAGUCCAUAACUUGUCCUCAAGUUAUGGAAAACCAAAAGUCACUUUGCUUUAAAACCAUUAAAAGAACACAUGGGUUAUAAAAAUGAAGAGUCUUCAUUCUUAAUACCCUAAUAAACUCAUAAGUUACAAGAAGUGAAGAGUUUUGAAAGUUUACAACACUUGCCCUCAAGUUUUCGAACAAGUAAAGUCAGGUUAAAACUUUAUUUCCAACCCUUAGAAUUUUAAAAGUUAAAAUCCUAACCUUAUACUUAUAAUAUUAUAAGUUAAUAAUAAUAUAUAUAUAUAUAUAUAUANUUACCGCUAGUACGCCUCAUUCACGAAGCCGGUCUAUAAGGUGGGUAUAAGGUUGUUGCCUAUAAAAUGGUGACUUAAUGGGUGUCCACUCUCACCCACCGCUUGCUUGACCGGUGGAGGGUCGUUAGCCGAACGGGUAAGACAAGGACUUAUAAAUUCUCAUUCAAAGUAUGAUGAAUAUUAUAAAGUAACUAAAUGGUUUUAUUAAAUUCCCAAUCUUAGUUACUUUAGGAAAAAUGUGAAUAAGGUGCUAAUCCAUGAAAUUACACUUUACAUUUUGUUUAAGUCGUUGGUGGAGCGUGUGUGGUUAACCGGCACACUAACUUGGACUUAACAAGGUAAGUAAAGGGUGACUAAAGGUUUAUCAUAGUAUCGGUGGAGCGUGUGUGGUUUACCAGCACAUCGAUUGAGAGAUAAACUUUAAGGGUACCAAGUGAUUUGCAUGGUUACUUCAUACCUCGUUUUGUGAUCCUCGGUAUCCCAGUCACAAAACUUGGAGGGCACACUCGAGAUUGAAACAUGCCUUCGAAAAGUUCAUUGAAUCCCAAAAGAAUCUAGGAAUUUCUAAGAAGCCAAUCAAAAAACCUAAUAUUUAAUAUUUCGGUUUUUCAUGGUGGAAAUUGGUGAAUCGUCAUUCACCUACCUUUCAAAUAUGUUAUAGCUUGGAUUACGGCAUACCUCUUCUAAGUUAUAAUAUAUUGUGAUUGGAUCCUAGCCUUAAUAUUACAUUUGGGUGUUUUACUAAGGAAUCUCUUAAUAUCUAAACUAAUCUUGUCCUCUUCCUUUAGAUGUCUUCAAACGAUGCCGCUUUUGGUUCUAAUCCUAAUGGCUCCUUUACCCUUACGAACUUGUGUGGGAAAUUCACUUUUGAUGGAUCCAAUUUCAAUGAAUGGAUCAGAAACAUCAGGAUGAUUACCCGCUACGAGGACAAAGAAUAUGUCCUCGGCAAGGAGCUUAAGGAGAUUGAUGAGAGCACUGCAACUCCCCAGGAGAUCGCUGACUUUCAGGCACAUGAAAGGGAUGCUACCAAAGUGGCAUGCAUCAUGAUGGCCACGAUGACAGCGGAACUCCAAAAGUCCUAUAAAGACUUCUACCAUUUUGAAAUGCACCAAGAUUUGAUGGAAAAUACCAUCAAAGUGCACGACAAGAGAGGUAUGAAAUCAUCUGCUCCAUGAUAACAACCUAAAUGAAGGAUGGAGAACCCAUCACAGACCACAUGCAGAAAAUGCAAAGAUUUGUGGACCGCUUGCUGAAGCUUAAUGUGAACUUCCCCGAGGAGCUAGCAAUAGAUAUUAUUUUGCACUCCUUACCUUCAUGUUAUGAUCAAUUCCGCAUGACAUACCACAUGAACAAGGAAGAGGUCACACUCAGCAAACUUCAAGGACUCUUAAAGACCGCGGAAAGUGGUCUUAAGGGUAAGGCGGUUGUUACUACUCCUACUCCUACCAACUCCGCCCCUGUCUUGGCAAUCGGGAAAGGACGAGGGAAGAAGAGAAAGAGUUCUUCGAAGGGUACCAAGGUUAGGACCCUUGAUGGCUCUUCUUCAAGUGGAACCAAGAAAGGUUUCAUCACUCCUUCUUCUGACCCAAAAGAGGCUGAAUGCUUCUAUUGCCAUGAAAAGGCACAUUGGAAGCGGAACUGCCCAAAGUACCAGCAAGAUGUGAAGGAUGGGAAAGUUAAACCCAACCAUGCAGGUAUUUACACUAUCUUAUCUAAUAACUCACCCCAUUCUAACUCUUGGGUCCUUGAUACCGGUUGUGGUAUUCAUAUCUGUUCUGAUUUACAGGGACUAAGAAGAAGUGAGGAUGUGGAGCAAGGAAGAAUAAACUUGAUCAUGGGAAACAGGAAAGCUUCACCUGUCACCAAGAUUGGAGUUUAUACUUUAUCGCUAAGUAGUGGGUUUAGUUUAGAUUUGAAUAAGUGUUGUUAUUCGCCAGAAAUGGCAAGAAAUAUUAUUUCCUUUCAUGCAUUGUAUAAACAAGGUUUCACCUUUUCAUUUGAUAAUGAAGUUGGUUCGAUUAAUGCUCUCUUUAAUAAUGUUCUUUAUUUUAAAGCAAUACCAUGUGAUGGCAUGUAUGAAACAGUAUCUGUGGUUGAUAACCAAGGAAAUAAUGUAUUGUGUAUUGAUUCUAUUAAUAAUAACUUGGAUAAAGCAUCAUUAUGGCAUUGUCAUCUUGGACAUAUAAGCAAGAAACGCAUAGGCCAACUCCAAAAGGAUGGAGUCUUGGAGUCAUUUGACCUAAAGUCAGAUGAUAGUUGCAAAUCAUGCUUACUUGGAAAAAUAACAAAGUCACCUUUCACAGGUUCUUGUGAUAGGGGUGAUGGUUUGUUGGAUCUUGUACACACGGAUGUGUGUGGGACCUUCAAACAUGCCACAACGAAUCCUAAUCGUUAUUAUUUGACUUUUACUGAUGAUUAUAGUAGAUAUGGAUAUGUCUACUUAAUCAACCAUAAGUCAGAGACUUUCGAAAAGUUUAAGGAAUUUAAACAGGAAGUCGAGAAUCAAUUGGGCAGGAACAUUAAGAUGCUUCGAUCCGAUCGAGGUGGUGAGUAUCUUAGUUCAGAGUUCCUCGACUAUCUUAGGGAAUGUGGGAUUGUCUCACAAUUGACACCUCCCAGGACACCACAGUUGAAUGGUGUGGCUGAGNAUAAUCAAACCUUGUUGAUAUGGUUCGUUCCAUGAUGAGUCGAGCUUUGCUACUAAUCUCAUUUUGGGGGUAUGCCUUAGAGACUGCCACCCAUCUCCUCAAUCUAGUCCCUACAAAGAAAGUUGCCAAAAUUCCUCAUGAGAUGUGGACUGGUAAAGUACCCAAACUAGACCACAUCAAGAUUUUGGGUUGCGAGGCUUUCGUGAGAUGCGAGACUCAUGAUAAGCUCGAACCUCGAAGCGAGAGGUGUAUUUUCAUCGGCUACCCACAGCAAUCCUUUGGUUACCUCUUCUACAGACCUAGUGACAAUGUGGUCUUUGUAGCUAGGAGGGCUUUCUUUAGAGAGAGAGAGAGUUCAUAACCCAAGGAAACAGUGGGAGGCAAGUAGAUCUUGAAGAAAUUCAAUAGUCAAGUGGUGAAGGAACUUCAAAUCCUAGCACUUAACUUGAGGAGUAAACUCCUAUUGAGCCAAUUGAGAAGUCUGUACCUCUGAGGCGUUCCACAAGGGUUAGGAAUGCACCUGAGCAUUACUAUGGAUUCCAUAUUACUGUGGAAGGUGAUACACUUAUCAGUUAUGAGACACUGAUAGGCCUGGAUGAACCUAGCAGUUACACAGAAGCCAUGGCAGGCCCUGAGUCAGCCAAGUGGAAAGAGGCAAUGGACAGCGAGAUACAAUCCAUGUACGACAAUCAAGUUUGGAACUUGGUUGAGAAUGUACCAGGUCGUAAGACAGUAGGGUGCAAAUGGGUCUUCAAGAAGAAGACCGACAUGGAUGGUAAAGUACACACUUAUAAGGCUAGACUGGUUGCAAAGGGCUUCUCUCAAAUUCCUGGAGUGGACUAUGAUGAGACCUUUUCUCCAGUAGCCAAGAUUAAGUCUAUUCGGGUUCUGUUAGCCAUAGCUGCAUUUCAUGACUAUGAAAUAUGGCAAAUGGAUGUCAAAACCGCUUUCCUUAAUGGAAAGUUGGCUGAAGAUGUUUACAUGAGUCAGCCAGAAGGUUUUGUCAGCAACGAGUACCCUAAUAGAGUGUGUAAGCUUUGAGAAAUCCAUUUAUGGAUUAAAGCAAGCACCUCGCAGGUGGAAUGUUUGCUUUGAUGAGAAAGUCAAGGAAUUUGGCUUUUCUAGGAGUGAAGAUGAAUCUUGUGUAUAUGUCAAGGCUAGUGGGAGUAUAGUUAGCUUUUUGGUAUUUGGAUGACAUACUACUCAUAGGAAUGACAUCCCAACACUGCUGGAAGUUAAGUCCUGGCUUGGGAAGUGUUUCUCUAUGAAGGACCUAGGACAAGCUGCCUAUAUUCUAGGGAUAAGGAUCUUGAGAGACCGGAAUAAAAGACUAAUUGGACUUAGUCAGAGUACCUACUUGGAUAAGGUGCUGAAGAGAUUCAGCAUGCAGGAUUCCAAGAAAGGAGAGUUACCCAUCCAGAGUAACACCAGAUUGAGUAAGACACAAAGCCCUAGCACUGAGGCUGAGAUAGCAGAAAUGAGUCGAACACCUUACGCUUCGGCUGUAGGAUCGAUCAUGUAUGCUAUGACGUGUACUCGACCCGAUGUAGCUUUUGCCUUGAGCAUGGUUAGCAGGUAUCAGGCGAACCCUGGCAAGGCACACUGGACUGCGGUAAAGAAUAUCCUCAAGUACCUACGGAGGACUAAGGACUGGGUUCUUACCCUCGGUGGGAGUGAUGACUUGAGAGUUGUAGGGUAUAGUGAUGCUAGCUUCCAGACUGAUAGGGAUAAUUUCCGCUCUCAGUCGGGCUGGGUCUUUACCCUAAACGGAGGAGCAAUUUCUUGGAAGAGUUCCAAACAAGAGAUAGUGGCUGAUUAAACUUGUGAAUCAGAUUAUAUUGCAGCUAGCGAGGUGGCAAAGGAGGCAAUAUGGCUUAAGAACUUCAUUGGAGACGUUGGAAUUGUACCAGCUAUUAAAGAGCCAAUGGAAAUUUUCUGUGAUAGUGAAAGCGUUGUUGCCUUAGCCAAGGAACCAAGGGAUCACGGGAGAUCCAGACACAUCGACAGAAAAUACCAUUUUAUCAGACAUCGAAUAGAAGAAGGACUCCUCGUGGCAAAGAGGGUAUCAUCGGAUGAGAACCCAGCAGAUCCCCUCACGAAGGGACUGACUCGGGUUAAGCAUCUCCAGCAUGCUCGGAGCAUAGGGCUGAAGGAUGAUAUAAGUUUUAGUAGUUAGAUAACCCAGAAAUUUGUAAAGUGUAAUUGACAUUUGAUGAUGAAUAAAAGGUGUUUUAUUUAUGAGUAAAGUGUUGCUAUCUCUUGUCGAUCGUUUACUAUAUUUCUUUUGCAUGUUUUGACUUCCAGAAUAAUUUUGUUUGGUAUAACAUAUUAUUCAAACCUCCACAGUCGGUCAUAUGUCGGAAGUAGGUAUGAAUCAAGACUGUCAUGAUGGGUUGUAGAGGUCUAAGGUGUUGGACAAGGCUACAACAAUCAUGAGUGCUCAUAAGUUCUGAGCAUUGGACUCAACCCACGCUCACUGGAAUCACUUCAUGGAAUUCUAUCUCGAGUGAUCGUGAGACGGUAAUAUCAUAUAAGUCUUCAAACCUAGAGAUAUGAUUUGUUACUUACAAGUUGGUUAUGCAUUGACUGUACGAAACCGCAUUGGUAACUCGAUGUUAUAAAACGUACUUUUGUGUGUAAUUCAAUGAGUGGUAGAACAAACAUAUGAGUCGAAGUUUAUCUGUUCCUUCUUGGAUUAGAAGCUGAUAUCUGGGCCCCUCGAUGAUUUUGUUUUGACCCAUGUACCGGGCCCGGUCAGAACUAAGUUGAUGUGUUCAAUUAAGUUCUAUGUCAAACAAAUCGGAAAUCGGGAAACAAAUGCUGGACAAUAAGCAAGACAAUGUUCCAUGUAUUUGUCCGGCUGAUAUCUAGAACGGAGGAUUAUAUGAUCACUUAUCUUAAAUGGCGUACCAUCAUCUUCUCAGUUCCGAGAGACCUUGAAAGAGCUACGAUUGCCGGUCGGUUCCUGAAGUACUAGAGAUAUAGUUAUUAGACUUAUCCAAGUGGGAGACUGUUGGAUAAGGUGUCUAAGUCCAUAACUAUUUCGGGCUUGUACUUGACCCGACCCGGCAUGGUCCAUUUGGGUUGCAUGGCACCAUGCAAUUGGAUAGACUAAAUGAGAGAAAUAACACUUGGAGAUUAUUAAUAUAUUAUAAGUUCUAAUAUAUUAAUAAUAUUAUUUGAUUAGUUGAUCAAAGAAUUAAUUUGGAAUUAAUUAAGUGAUCAAAGGAUAACUAAUUAAAUAUAUGGGUUGAUUAUGUAAAUCAUCCAUAUCUUGUAUAGUAGGCUAAGAGGCUCCAUGGAUUUUCAAGUUGGGUUCCACCCAUAGGAUGCUCCAUGGAUGCUCCAUGGGAGUUACAAACCCAUGGGUCAUGGAAAUGAAGAGUCAUGAAACAUUAGGGUUUACAUGGUGUAAUCCUAGAUGUGUCAACACUAUAUAAGAAUCAUAUUCUCCACCAAAAUCGGCUACACUANAAGAGGGCUAGGCCGAUUUUAAGAAGUGUGUAUUCUUUAAAAAGUCUUUCCAAGAGCAUUUGGUGUUGUGUGAAGCAUUUGAGGCAUCACACUUGGGGUGCUAGGCUCACAAGGUUUCAAGGAACAUAAGCAACAACAAGGUAAGUUAUUUUAUCUUUCAUUCAAGUUAAAAAUUGUUCCCCAUGUAUGCUAGAUAGGAAUAUAACCUUGGAAUUCAACUUUGCAUGAUAAUUAGACAAACAUAGAUCCAAGGUUAUUAGGGUUGCAUGUACACUUAGGAAGUGUUAGAAUGCUCAAUACCCAUCACCUACUUCAAGCCUAUUCAGAUUCAAACUAUGGUGGUCUUCAACUUGAUAGAAAAAGCACGUCUGAUGGCUGCCAAUUUGUAGGUGGUCGUUUGGUCAGUUGGUCAUCCAAGAAACAGAACUGCAUUGCACUCUCUAUAGCCAAAGUCG
rnacentral:lncRNA from 1 species